UACGUAGGGUGCAAGCGUUGUCCGGAAUUAUUGGGCGUAAAGAGCUCGUAGGCGGUGUGUCGCGUCGGCCGUGAAAACCCGGGGCUCAACUCCGGGCUUGCGGGCGAUACGGGCAGGCUAGAGUUCGGUAGGGGAGACUGGAAUUCCUGGUGUAGCGGUGAAAUGCGCAGAUAUCAGGAGGAACACCGGUGGCGAAGGCGGGUCUCUGGGCCGAUACUGACGCUGAGGAGCGAAAGCGUGGGGAGCGAACAGG
rnacentral:rRNA from 1 species